rnacentral:rRNA from 1 species
AUUGAACGCUGGCGGCAGGCUUAACACAUGCAAGUCGAGCGGGGGAAGGUAGCUUGCUACCGGACCUAGCGGCGGACGGGUGAGUAAUGCUUAGGAAUCUGCCUAUUAGUGGGGGGCAACAUCUCGAAAGGGAUGCUAAUACCGCAUACGUCCUACGGGAGAAAGCAGGGGAUCUUCGGACCUUGCGCUAAUAGAUGAGCCUAAGUCGGAUUAGCUAGUUGGUGGGGUAAAGGCCUACCAAGGCGACGAUCUGUAGCGGGUCUGAGAGGAUGAUCGGCCACACUGGGACUGAGACACGGCCCAGACUCCUACGGGAGGCAGCAGUGGGGAAUAUUGGACAAUGGGGGGAACCCUGAUCCAGCCAUGCCGCGUGUGUGAAGAAGGCCUUAUGGUUGUAAAGCACUUUAAGCGAGGAGGAGGCUACUUUAGUUAAUACCUAGAGAUAGUGGACGUUACUCGCAGAAUAAGCACCGGCUAACUCUGUGCCAGCAGCCGCAGUAA